CAAGACGAACUCCUGUUUGUUCAUGAGUUCUUCUUGCCGAUCCAAAUCCUCGCCGAUUCUGCCAAGUCUUUGCCCCUAGGCCACGGAAUCCACUCUAUAUAUAUUCCGCAUCUUCUUCUCUUCCGACUUUUGGCAAAAUUUUGUCUUCCCGUGCCCGUUUCGCCCGGAUCCGAUCUCGCCGGAGUUCGCCGCUGCAGGAGCAUCUCGCCGGUUGAUUCUAUCGCCUCUGAAGGGGAGCACGGAAACGAGCGGUGCAACCUCGACCAGAAGCUUACCUAGUCUGGCCGCGACUCCAGCCGCACUUCAUCGCCACCAGAAAUCGUCCUCGACGCUUAGCAGGACCCAUCCGAGGCCUUCUUGUCACUCCGCGUCCGACGCGCACCUCCCCGUGGCCAUCUGACCUCUGUAUCCGUCGCCCGCAUCUCCACCGAGGCGCCCCGCGCCGUUCUUCUCCAACUCCGGCAGGCCUAUUCUGCUCUUUUCGAUUGUCCGGAGUGUGAAGCGGAUCAGAAUUGAGCGUUAGAAUACUUCAACACCGUUCAAGGCAAGUUUGCACUUUGAUUUUGCUUAUCCUAUAUUCUGCUAUGCAAGUGUGGUUUUUAUGCUAUGAUAUAUGUUUGGCCUGGCCGUGUUGUCAUGUUUUGGUAUUGAUUGUAUUAUGUGUUGGUGUGAUCAACUUGCUAUGGUAGACGUGGGCAUGUGUCGAGUGAUGCAUGGAAGUGGUCGUUGUAACGCCCGGAUAAUCAUGCUACAGUAAUCCCACGCUAAUGAUGCCACAUCACCACGGUUACUGUUGUUAACCUCGCGAUGAUU